AUUGAACGCUGGCGGCAGGCCUAACACAUGCAAGUCGAACGGUAACAGGAAGAAGCUUGCUUCUUUGCUGACGAGUGGCGGACGGGUGAGUAAUGUCUGGGAAACUGCCUGAUGGAGGGGGAUAACUACUGGAAACGGUAGCUAAUACCGCAUAACGUCGCAAGACCAAAGAGGGGGACCUUCGGGCCUCUUGCCAUCGGAUGUGCCCAGAUGGGAUUAGCUAGUAGGUGGGGUAACGGCUCACCUAGGCGACGAUCCCUAGGUGGUCUGAGAGGAUGACCAGCCACACUGGAACUGAGACACGGUCCAGACUCCUACGGGAGGCAGCAGUGGGGAAUAUUGCACAAUGGGCGCAAGCCUGAUGCAGCCAUGCCGCGUGUAUGAAGAAGGCCUUCGGGUUGUAAAGUACUUUCAGCGGGGAGGAAGGGAGUAAAGUUAAUACCUUUGCUCAUUGACGUUACCCGCAGAAGAAGCACCGGCUAACUCCGUG
rnacentral:rRNA from 1 species